CGGCGAGCGGCGGACGGGUGAGGAACACGUAGGAACUUACCUUUCAGAGGGGGACAACCAGGGGAAACUUUGGCUAAUACCGCGUAAUCUCGAGAGAGUAAAGCUGGCUUCGGCUGGCACUGAAAGAGAGGCCUGCGUCCGAUUAGUUUGUUGGUGAGGCAACGGCUCACCAAGACUGUGAUCGGUAACUGGUCUGAGAGGACGACCAGUCACACUGGGACUGAGACACGGCCCAG
rnacentral:rRNA from 1 species